UUUCUCUCUCUCUCUCUCUCUCUCUCUCUCAUAUUUGGUUUGUGCUUUGAUUAAAAAACGGAGAGAGUUUAGUUAAAACAAGGAACGUGGGAAAGGCAACACACAAAAAAAAAAAACAAAACAAAACAAAAAAAAAAAAAAAAAAACGAGAUUAUUAUACAAACACUCUCUCUCUCUCUCUCUCUCUCACCUUCUACUCUCUUAAACCCUAGCACCCGAGAUUCCGAUACUGAGAGAUCAGAAGUAUUUCACUUCUUCUCCACCGACAAUAACUCGUUCAGUACUUGUUGCCCACUGCUUCUCUCUCCUCUGCUCUGCCUGUGGUCAAUGGAGAUGAGAAGAUUUCAGAUUGGCAAGGGUGUAUGGCUAGAUUGAUGGAGAAAGCUGGACAACAGCUUCAAUAAUAACACCCAAACCAUGCUAAAAAAAUGUGCCAAUCAUUUAUGUUUACUUGUUUUUCUUUGUUGUUGGUGAUGUUCUCAUGAAAUGUUUUGCAAGAGAAAAGGGCAUUACAAGUGAGUUUGUUUUACACAUGAAUUGCAUAACCAUUAACUAGUAAUGAUUCAGAGAACAUAAGUGUUAGUGCUAAAUUUCUGAUCUCAAGCAGUUGCCAAAGCCGGACACAGAUAAUCUAGUAGGCUACAUCAACUUUUUUCCACUCCAGUUUUGAUAUGUCAUGCAUAAUCGUCUUUUAAUGUCUCUAUUAGCGGCAUAUGACAUCUUAGAAAUGUUAUUGCAAGAUGUUUUCUCAUGUAAUUAAGGCAUAUGUGGUGUGGAGAAUUCACAGAAGGUGUAUUGGAUCACAUUAGUGUA